rnacentral:rRNA from 1 species
UACAGAGGGUGCGAGCGUUAAUCGGAAUUACUGGGCGUAAAGCGUGCGUAGACGGCUAUCUAAGUCGGGUGUGAAAGCCCCGGGCUCAACCUGGGAAUUGCAUUCGAGACUGAAUAGCUAGGGUACGGUAGAGGGAAGUGGAAUUUCCGGUGUAGCGGUGAAAUGCGUAGAUAUCGGAAGGAACAUCAGUGGCGAAAGCG